rnacentral:rRNA from 1 species
UACGUAGGUGACAAGCGUUGCUCGGAAUCACUGGGCGUAAAGCGCACGUAGGCGGACUCUUAAGUCGGUGGUGAAAUCCUGGAGCUCAACUCCAGAACUGCCUUCGAUACUGAGAGUCUCGAGUCCGGGAGAGGUGAGUGGAACUGCGAGUGUAGAGGUGAAAUUCGUAGAUAUUCGCAAGAACACCAGUGGCGAAGGCGGCUCACUGGCCCGGUACUGACGCUGAGGUGCGAAAGCGUGGGGAGCAAACAGG